rnacentral:lncRNA from 1 species
UCAAUCCAAAAUUAUCCAUCAUUCUCUUAUUUUAGCACUGACUUUAUCUCAUUUUUAAAAAUUUAUUUAUUGCUUGAAAGGCAGAGGUGCAGAGGGGCAGAGAGAGGUCUUCCAUCCACUGGAUGGCUACACCGGCUGGGGCUGCUCCAAUCCAAAGCCAGGAGCCAGCGGUUUCUUCCAGGUCUCCCAUGCGGGUGCAGGGACCCAAGGACUUGGGCCACCUUCUUCUGCUUUCCCAGGCUGCAGCAGAGAGCUGGGUCGGAAGAGGAGCAGCUGGCACUAGAACUGGCGUUGAUACGAGAUGCUGGUACUGCAGACGGUGGCUUUACCCGCUACGCCACAGUGCUGGCCUCUUUAUCUCAUGGAAGGUCCUUGCUGGAUGAGCCCCCAGACGUCGCAGCUGCAGAAUCUGUCCUCUCUAAAGCCACCUGCCUCGGGCUUUCUUCACAGUCACAAGAAGUGACAGGAAGACCUCGCGGCGCCCAUGUGGGCAAGGAUACUGGCAUUGGUGCCGGAGCUGGCGGCUUUGUGUGGCUGUCCGCGUCAGUGAGGCCGAGACGUGGAUGUGAUACAUUGACCCCGGUUCUCGUCCUCCACCUUCCUCCUCCACUGUGGGCUGCUCUGACCCCAACGCUGGUGUUGACCUGGGAGGCGGGAAGGACCCUCUUCCACAGCAGCUGUGGUGAUCCUGCGCCCGCCUGCUCCCCGCGCCAGUGUUCAGGGCCUCAGAGUUCCUCUUGGGAGCGCAAACCUCUGCCUCACACGCCAAGUGCAAGCGGUGGCUCCUGCAUCAUCUGUCGCUCCCGCACCGGGCAGCUCAAGCCCUCACCCCAAAGCCUCUUUGCUUGCAGCCCGCCUGAGGGGUCCCAUCCUAGGUCAAGGCUUUUCACCCUUCUGCAAAACCCUCCUGACACGAACUCCUGGCCGGGACCCCAGGCUGUAUGGCCAGGACGCCACCUGCUAACUCCCCUAUCAGCCAGUGCCUUCCAGGCCCUGUCCCUGGAGCCAUGA